UACGGAGGGUGCGAGCGUUAAUCGGAAUUACUGGGCGUAAAGCGCACGUAGGCGGUUAGCUAAGUCUGAUGUGAAAGCCCUGGGCUUAACCUGGGAACGGCAUUGGAAACUGGUUGACUGGAGUGUGGUAGAGGGGUGUGGAAUUUCCGGUGUAGCAGUGAAAUGCGUAGAGAUCGGAAGGAACACCAGUGGCGAAGGCGGCACCCUGGACCAACACUGACGCUGAGGUGCGAAAGCGUGGGGAGCAAACAGG
rnacentral:rRNA from 1 species